GCUGCAAGGGUCCGGAAGGGACUCCUGCUCAGUGAGUCUAGGGCACCUGCUGCUGUAAGAGCAAGUUGGGGCACAGGGCUUUACAGCCUCCAGAGCCUGGAGAAGGACGCCCCAGGCACGAGGACGGGAGCCAUGGAGAGGAAACUGGGAGCCCUGCUGGGGCUUUUGUGGGUGCAGGUUUGCUGGGUGAGAGGGGAGCAGGUGGAACAGAGCCCUUCAGCCCUGAGUGUCCGGGAGGGAGACAGCCCUACACUGACCUGCAAUUUUUCUGCCACCAUGAGGAGUGUGCAGUGGUUCCGGCAAAGCCCAGGAGGCGGCCUCGUCAAUCUGUUCUUAGUGACUACUGGGACAAAGCGGAAUGGAAGACUAGAGUCAACGUUUAAUUCCAAAGAGAGAUUUAGCACCCUGCAAAUCACAGCCUCCGAGCUGCGAGACUCAGGCUCCUACAUAUGUGCAGGAGAGGCACAGCGCUCCCAGGUCACCUGCAGCCUGGCCCCAAACUGCAGCUGGGGCUGAGUCACCGCAGCUGCCUCAGGCAGACUCGCCCAGCCUCGCGCACAGCUUUGGUUUCCUUAUUCAUGCUGCACCAGUGUUUCUUCUGCUAACCUCAGGCUUUUCAGUGCAGUUGCUUUAUAUGGUUCGUACACUUUCUCUUCCAGAAAUUAUUUUGCAGGGGAGAAGAGCCACUGGUACAGAUGGCAGGGCCCAAAGCACUGGUGCAGUGGAUCCCCUGGCAGAGCACAUCAAUUGCUCCUAAGCUACUGUGAUGAAAAAGCCUGGGAUAAAUUCAUGAUUGUCAAUAAAUUGAAAAGAGAUGAGUUGGUAUUUUAGAUAUUUCUGUGUUAUUCAAUUUUCAUGGAAAUGCAAUGAGAGUGUAUGAUAUAUAU